AGCGAACGCUGGCGGCAGGCCUAACACAUGCAAGUCGAACGGAUCCUUCGGGAUUAGUGGCGGACGGGUGAGUAACACGUGGGAACGUGCCCUUUGGUUCGGAACAACUCAGGGAAACUUGAGCUAAUACCGGAUGUGCCCUUCGGGGGAAAGAUUUAUCGCCAUUGGAGCGGCCCGCGUCUGAUUAGCUAGUUGGUGAGGUAACGGCCCACCAAGGCGACGAUCAGUAGCUGGUCUGAGAGGAUGAUCAGCCACACUGGGACUGAGACACGGCCCAGACUCCUACGGGAGGCAGCAGUGGGGAAUCUUGCGCAAUGGGCGAAGGCCUGACGCAGCCAUGCCGCGUGAAUGAUGAAGGUCUUAGGAUUGUAAUAUUCUUUCAGCGGGGACGAUAAUGACGGUACCCGCAGAAGAAGCUCCGGCUAACUUCGUG
rnacentral:rRNA from 1 species